rnacentral:rRNA from 1 species
AUUGAACGCUGGCGGCAGGCCUAACACAUGCAAGUCGAACGAGUGGCGGACGGGUGAGUAAUGUCUGGGAAACUGACUGAUGGAGGGGGAUAACUACUGGAAACGGUAGCUAAUACCGCAUACCAUCAGAUGUGCCCAGAUGGGAUUGGCGUGUUGGUGGGGUAACGGCUCACCAAGGCGACGAUCCCUAGCUGGUCUGAGAGGAUGACCAGGCACACUGGAACUGUGCCACGGUCCAGACUCCUACGGGAGGCAGCAGUGGGGAAUGUUGCACAAUGGGCGCAAACCUGAUGCAGCCAUGCCGCGUGUAUGAAGAAGGCCUUCGGGUUGGAAAGUACUUUCAGCGGGGAGGCGUUACUCGCAGAAGAAGCAACGGCUAACUCCGGGCCAGGCGGCGCGGUAAUUC